UGAAGAGUUUGAUCAUGGCUCAGAUUGAACGCUGGCGGCAGGCCUAACACAUGCAAGUCGAGCGGAAACGAUCCUAGCUUGCUAGGAGGCGUCGAGCGGCGGACGGGUGAGUAAUGCAUAGGAAUCUGCCCGGUAGUGGGGGAUAACCUGGGGAAACCCAGGCUAAUACCGCAUACGCCCUACGGGGGAAAGCAGGGGAUCUUCGGACCUUGCGCUAUCGGAUGAGCCUAUGUCGGAUUAGCUAGUUGGUGAGGUAACGGCUCACCAAGGCUGCGAUCCGUAGCUGGUCUGAGAGGAUGAUCAGCCACAUCGGGACUGAGACACGGCCCGAACUCCUACGGGAGGCAGCAGUGGGGAAUAUUGGACAAUGGGCGAAAGCCUGAUCCAGCCAUGCCGCGUGUGUGAAGAAGGCCUUCGGGUUGUAAAGCACUUUCAGUGAGGAAGAAAGCCUUGAGGUUAAUACCCUCGAGGGAGGACAUCACUCACAGAAGAAGCACCGGCUAACUCCGUGCCAGCAGCCGCGGUAAUACGGAGGGUGCGAGCGUUAAUCGGAAUUACUGGGCGUAAAGCGCGCGUAGGCGGCUUGAUAAGCCGGUUGUGAAAGCCCCGGGCUCAACCUGGGAACGGCAUCCGGAACUGUCAGGCUAGAGUGCAGGAGAGGAAGGUAGAAUUCCCGGUGUAGCGGUGAAAUGCGUAGAGAUCGGGAGGAAUACCAGUGGCGAAGGCGGCCUUCUGGACUGACACUGACGCUGAGGUGCGAAAGCGUGGGUAGCAAACAGGAUUAGAUACCCUGGUAGUCCACGCCGUAAACGAUGUCGACUAGCCGUUGGGCUCCUUGAGAGCUUUGUGGCGCAGUUAACGCGAUAAGUCGACCGCCUGGGGAGUACGGCCGCAAGGUUAAAACUCAAAUGAAUUGACGGGGGCCCGCACAAGCGGUGGAGCAUGUGGUUUAAUUCGAUGAUACGCGAGGAACCUUACCAGGGCUUAAAUGUAAGUUGCAUUAGUUAGAGAUAGCUAUUUCUUCGGACCACUUACAAGGUGCUGCAUGGUUGUCGUCAGCUCGUGCCGUGAGGUGUCAGGUUAAGUCCUAUAACGAGCGCAACCCCUGUUGUUAGUUGCCAGCGAGUCAUGUCGGGAACUCUAACAAGACUGCCAGUGCAAACUGUGAGGAAGGUGGGGAUGACGUCAAAUCAUCACGGCCCUUACGUCCUGGGCUACACACGUGCUACAAUGGAACGCACAGAGGGCAGCAAACCCGCGAGGGGGAGCGAAUCCCACAAAACGUUUCGUAGUCCGGAUCGGAGUCUGCAACUCGACUCCGUGAAGUCGGAAUCGCUAGUAAUCGUGAAUCAGAAUGUCACGGUGAAUACGUUCCCGGGCCUUGUACACACCGCCCGUCACACCAUGGGAGUGGACUGCACCAGAAGUGGUUAGCCUAACUUCGGAGGGCGAUCACCACGGUGUGGUUCAUGACUGGGGUGAAGUCGGAACAAGGUAGCCGUACUGGAAGGUGCGGCUGGAUCACCUCCUU
rnacentral:rRNA from 1 species